rnacentral:lncRNA from 1 species
CUCUCUUUGUGGCUCCCUCCCCCCAGCCUUGCCUGCCCUCAGGGCUUAGCAUCGGUCUGGUAGCCAGAGCCUUGCCUAACAUGAAACUGGCACAAAUGAAAAGGCGGAUAAAUAAACGUCCAGGAAUCUUGUUUGUCAUAUUUAAUCCAUCACGUUUCCCAAACAGCCUGGUCAAAAAAUUCUGCAGCAGUGUUUACAUCAUCCUGAUUGAAAGCUACAUCCGUGCAUAUAAAUACCAUUCCUGGAUGUAGCUCCAGUUUCACACGGAGGCAGCUAUCAGCCUUGUCUGCCCUCACCACUGAAAGAAGAAAAAAAAAUGUUUGAAUUUCUUCAUUCCCCCAUUCCUGCCCAAUCCAGCACUCGCACAUUCAUUUUUUUUUCCCCUCCUCUUCCUUAAGUAUCCCAGUGAGCAUUGCCCAAUGCUGUGAUUUCUGGGUAUGCUCAGUGAGCAAUGGGCAAGUGGAAUUCAUUAGACCACGGGGAAAUGGUUAAUCAGUGCGCUAAUGAAAGUGGCACAACACAAGCAUUGAAACAUGCAACCUGGCAGGGCUUGGUGUCAUCACAUGCCAUACACCUGGCACUUGGCUGGGAGCAACAACCAUGUCCCUAGCUGGGAAAGAAAACCAGGAGCACAGGUCAAACCAAUGCAAAUGAAUGAGAGAUAUUUCCCACUUUAAUGACCAGGAGGCAAAACUGGAAGAGGAAAGAAGCAGUUCCACCAUUUGACCAAGGAGAGAGACAGUUGUUGAUCCUACAUCAAGACAAACAAUGGCAAAGUGAUAACGAUGAUGAAGCUCAGAAAGGAACACAGAGUCCCAAACCUCCCCAUGCCAUGAUCCACAAAACAUUUCCCAACAGAAUGAACAGAGAAGGGAAAAAUCAAAAAGGAAAAAGAUGGAAAGAAAAAGAAUUCCAACCUGCCUGGGAUAAGAUGGUACAUCUUGUCACAAACAGAGUGUUUAACUUACGGCUUCUUUUGUUAAAAGAAAACCAAUCAAAUCUGUCUGUUUCCAUUCCAACCUCCUUCCCUCCACUUCAGCUUAUUUUUCCUGUGGCCAAAAUUGUUCAUCGUGCUGGAUGCAAAUCAUCCCCUGCAAAUUGCAUUUUUCCAUGGUAAAUGUUUUCACCAGAGAAUGUCCCGCUAUGCUGCCUCCAGAGGUUUUCAUCCCAUUUGGACACACAUAAUGGCGUGAAACACUUUGCUCACUCAGCUCCAUUUGCAGAGUGAACCCAACGUUGCAAUGUACUGUUUGUACGUUAAUGCAUUGCAAUGACACUGGCACACUUAUUUGGUGGAAAUGGGCACAAUAUUUGAUUGCACUCUUGGCAGCACUGUCCAGAGGUUGGACUUUGACUUCUAGUCUGCCUGUCUCCAGUUUCUUUGCAAAGGCUUUGAAAAACUGGGCUGUGACCCAGCCAUCCCCUUAGGUUUGGGCUUGUUUCUGAGUUCUUAUAGUUGAAAACAUCCAGCUGCAAAAGGAAAUAGCACCUGCUUUAUUCAGCUUAGCAGCACAGACAUUUCCCAGGAGCCUCCUUGUGCCCCUUGGAAUAAAAAUAAGGUUGUCAGAUGAUGCACCACAGAUAAAUCAGCAUUGUGACUGCCAGAAAAUACCCACCUCUCUAUUUUUAUAGGUGUCAUUAGCAUCCCUGCUUCUGAAAUUAGGACCUUACAGAGACAUAGGACACUGCUUUCUCAAAUAACAGCAAACCAUAUAACUUUAUAAGAAGUUUUUAAUCCCAGUAAAAGAAGCGAGACCGUAAACCCAUUUUUACCCUUCCUCCUUCACCUCUUGCCUACUCAAAAGCAGGAGCUGCUUCUGGCCUCCAGAUGUCCAACCCACAAGCUCUUCCCUUUUGCUAUUUUUGCUGCACGCUUUGAUCUUUUGCAAAUGCUGCCUGGGGGGGAGUAGGGGCUGGGGCUGUUGAUGCUGCACCCUGGGCUGCUCCAUCCAUGCCCCAGCCAAGCUCCUCAUCUUCCUCUGCCCUUGCUGCAAAGGGAGAAUGUCUGACUAAUGCAAGAAAGAAUGGCUGGAUCCCAUUUUAUUUUUUGAGGGAGCUACCUUAGAGAUGGGAAAGUGAAGUACCCAUUGAAGUACCAACUGAAGUAAAGGGAUAUUCAGAGUAAGAAGUGACUUUUGUGAUGUUUCCAUAGGGCAAAGUAAAAUGUGAG